rnacentral:sRNA from 1 species
AAAUACGGAUUUGGAUAAGUACUGCUUCAUCAGUUAAAACAUAAUUACAGAGUAAGAAGUGUGAUUGGGUCGAAACUUAUCCUUUUAAAUAUAUCACUUAACCUCGACUUAGUGGAAUCUUAAACUACACUACUAUCCACACGUUCUGACAAAAGGUAUUACAGAUUAUAAUACCUUUUCUCGAUGGUUGAAACUUUUUUGAAUAUUCUUCUUGUAAUGAAAUCUCCUGAUGAGUCAAAUGUGUAAAUAGAAAAAGAGUGAAAACCUUCGACUCACCAAUACUAAACCAAUACAAAACCCAUAAGUGCACUCUGCCUUUGACUUCAUAUUUUCAUAUUUCCUUUUCUAUCUUAUUGGACUUUCAUGAAUCACCCUCCUCGUCCAUUAUCAUUACCUCGUAUUAUUAACUCUCUCACACGACACACGUAUUAUAAUAUUAGUCUAUGCGCAUACAUAUACUAAUAUAUAAUGUCACUGGAUAGGGACGGUCGAGUUAUAAAUGGUGUAAGGUUUGGUAUUGAAUAAUUUUGCUUUAUCGACAUUACGACAUAUAUAAUUAUGUGAUUAUAAUUAGCACUUGAAGCCGUCUCUUAUCUCGCUCUUUUUGACGGUCCAAUGUAAAUACGUAUAUAAGAUUCAUAUCUUUUUUAGUUUUGAUGAUGUACUAACGUAAAACGAUCGUAUAUGAAUGGAUAGAACUUUAUCCUUCUUGUUUCGGGGAUAAAUGGAUAGAACAAUCCAUAUUUCAGGGAUAAAUCUUAUUUACUUUUGAUCGUGUAAAUACUUGUUUCGAGAUUAGUUGCUUUUUAUUUCGUAAUCGUGGUGACCUAACAAAUCACCGAGUUUUUUAAAUGGAUGAUUGCAUGCAUGGCUCAAUAAGGGUUUGACAAUUACUAACACACGGUGACAAAAGAUCUUCUUUCAAAAAAGAUUCGAUUGGGAACUUUUCUAUGUUCAAAAUGAUAUAAUCUCAGAUAAAAUAUUCAAUUUACUCUAUAGAUUUAC